AAAACCUGGUGGUAUAGAUGGGUGCGAGUGAAGAGGGGCACAGAGGGGCCACAUGGGGCCCGGGAGGCAAGGAAGGCCCUGGGAAGAGGAGGCAGGCCCUGUGCCCUCCCGCUGCCACCCCACCAGGCCAGCAGGCACACUGGAUUGCAGUUAGACCUUACUGAAGUGCUAGCAAGAACUGUCACCGUCUCAUGGGGUUCCCUCAACAAUUCUCCAAGAUGAAUGGCAUCUCGUCCAUCUUACAGAUGAGGCUCAGAUGGCUUAAAGUACUUGCCCAGAGUCCCAGCUAGUAAAGAGUAGAACUGCAAUCAUCCAUUCACCCAUGCACCUUGUGUCCAUCUCAGUGGCUGAGCAGCCGCUGCCAAUCGUCCUGAGGCAGGUCUGGGCAAGUGGCUCUGCCUAGGUGGCCACAGCUGCCAGUACGCAGGCCCCAGGAGGACCCAGGGCAGAGGGACAUGGGGAAGCAUCGUUGGGAGGGAAAAGGCAAAGGCACAGAAGCAGGAGGUGACAAGUGUCCUGUGACUCGGCACCCCUCCUCUCGCCUGUGCUUCUGUCCUUCCUCCCGCAGUGUCCCCUUCUCUACUGCCACCUCCCUCGUCCAAGCCGCUGGCACCUCUUGCCUAGGCAGCUGCAAGCAUCUCCAAACCGCCCUCCCCGCAUCCAUACUUUCUCCUACCGUCCAUUCUCAACGCGGCAGCCAGAGAGAUCUUUUAAAAAUAGAAAUUCCAUCAUGAUGUGCUCCUGCUUAAAGCCUUUCAAUGGUUCCCAGUGCACUUAGAAUAAAAGCCGGGCACCCUACCUUGGCUUCAAGUCCUUCCACAAUUUGGCCCGGCUGUCCUCUCCCUGCUUGGCUUGUGACCGCUCUUCACUCAAUGACUGGGCUCCAGCCACAUCGGCCUCCUUCCUGGCCCUUCAACAACCCUACUCCUCCCGCCUCGGGGCCGGGUGCACACUGGCCCCACCAUACGCCCCCCUUCUGGUUACUCUCAUCCUUCAGGUCUCAGCAUUCUUUCCUGGCACCCCAGACAGUGUCAGAUCCCAUUAUACGCUCUAGCACCUUUUCUUCCGCGAAACAUAUCACACACGGUAAUAGAUUUCUCUGUCUCUUUCCCUGAUUUUUGUCUGGCUUUCCCGGAAGGCAAGGAUUCCCAGAAAGGCCUCUCUGUUACCAACCACUGGAUCUCGGUGUCUAACACCGUUUCUGGCACAUAGUAGGCACUCGAUACAUAUUUGUUAAGUGAAUGCAUAAUUGAACAGAUGAAUCAAUGCCAAUGAAAUGGCCUGAUGGAGCAGCAGGACUGUGCUGAGGUGAAGUGGCAGCUAAGGUCAGAGGGAGAGGAGCAGACGGGGCUUGCAUGGGAUGGAGAAGGGAAGAGGGGGCCAGGUGAAGGUCUGAAGCCAGGAGUCAUGAGCUCUUGGGAGGCUUAGUCAGAGGUGGGGCUGGCCCAGGAGGUGCAGGGGGCACAGGCCAGCCCGGAGGCCUGAGGUGAGGAGAUUCUGAACCCAGGUGUGAGCAGGACGGAGGACGCCUGGAACCUAAGCCUGGCUGGUGCAGAAGAUGAAGGGAAGGAGGAGCCCCGGAGGAUUCCAGCACCUUCCCCCAGAGACUCUGGAAGCACCGAGGAGCUCCGACAGGAGCAGAGUCCCCCACGGACCUUGCCCAGGGGACCCCUGGCAUCAAUUCAGGUAAAAUGCAUGAGGACAAGUGUUCUGGGAAUACUGGAAGCUCCAAGAAGUCGCUGCACCCCAGUCAGCUCUCAUCAACACCAGAGGAGGCAGGCUCCUAGCUGGCAAAUUCCUACUCAUCCAUCAGAACCCAUUUUGAAUGGUCCCUCUUCUGGGAAAUUUUCUUCAGCACCAUCAAAGGGAGCUCAUACUGGCUUCCUGCAGCUCCUGUCAUGCUGCGUGUGGCUGGCUUAUCUAUACAUCUGUGUCUCCAUUAGGCCAGAAAUGCCUUGAGGGCCAUAACGGUGCCUCAUUCUUUUCUACACCCCCGGAACCUAGAAGAGUGCCCAGCUCGUGGUUGUUGCUGGGCACACGCUCGUGGAAGAGACUGGAGGAUUGGAGUUCUGCUCAAAACCUUCGCCCUGCCAGCUGGCUACCUGUACCUCCAGACAGCUGAACCUCUCGCUGGUUGAGCCAUCUCUAACCUGGCCCUCGUGGUGCCUGCAAAGGAGGGCAUCCAGAAGCACACGGACACUCACUGCUCACCCUCAGUGCCAUUUAGUGGGUGACCUGGCUGUCACCUUACAGAAGAGGUGGGGUGCUAAGUGGGUGGGACGGCAGGUGGGGAAAGGUCCCUGGGGUACGCGGUGAAGAUUCUGGAAGGCUAGGGCUUGGGGCAGCUGGAGUAGGGAUCUACUCCCCUUGGAUGAAUGGGGAGCCAUUGGCAAAGGGUUACAGCUUCUCUAAGCGGGGUCCUAGCACCCAAAGGCCCUGGGAUAGAAAUCACUGCUUAAUCGCAUGCCCAGCUUCCUGGUUACCUUGAAUCCUCAGAGAUAAGAGAUAAAGACCGGCCUUCAGAGGGGGCUUGCAGGAGAGAGAAAGGACAUUUGUCUCCGCGGCCUCCAGGCAUGGUUCAGAGCUGUUGUUCCUGUCCCAUGCGAGGGAGGGGGGCAGAGAACGGCAACAGAUGGCGUGUGUUUAACAACCUGGUAUCAAGCAUUUGCUGGGUGUCAGGCACUGUUCUAAGUGCUUUUACAAUUCACUUAUUUGUUGAACCCUCA